AACCUGCCCUUGGGAGGGGAACAACAACUGGAAACAGUUGCUAAUACCCCAUAAGUUGAGAAGCAAAAGGAAGAAUCCACCCAAGGAGGG
rnacentral:ncRNA from 1 species